GACGAACGCUGGCGGCGUGCUUAACACAUGCAAGUCGAACGGAAAGGCCCUGCUUUUGUGGGGUGCUCGAGUGGCGAACGGGUGAGUAACACGUGAGUAACCUGCCCUUGACUUUGGGAUAACUUCAGGAAACUGGGGCUAAUACCGGAUAGGAGCUCCUGCUGCAUGGUGGGGGUUGGAAAGUUUCGGCGGUUGGGGAUGGACUCGCGGCUUAUCAGCUUGUUGGUGGGGUAGUGGCUUACCAAGGCUUUGACGGGUAGCCGGCCUGAGAGGGUGACCGGCCACAUUGGGACUGAGAUACAGCCCAGACUCCUACGGGAGGCAGCAGUGGGGAAUAUUGCACAAUGGGCGGAAGCCUGAUGCAGCAACGCCGCGUGCGGGAUGACGGCCUUCGGGUUGUAAACCGCUUCCGCCUGUGACGAAGCGUGAGUGACGGUAAUGGGUAAAGAAGCACCGGCUAACUACGUGCCAGCAGCCGCGGUGAUACGUAGGGUGCGAGCGUUGUCCGGAUUUAUUGGGCGUAAAGGGCUCGUAGGUGGUUGAUCGCGUCGGAAGUGUAAUCUUGGGGCUUAACCCUGAGCGUGCUUUCGAUACGGGUUGACUUGAGGAAGGUAGGGGAGAAUGGAAUUCCUGGUGGAGCGGUGGAAUGCGCAGAUAUCAGGAGGAACACCAGUGGCGAAGGCGGUUCUCUGGGCCUUUCCUGACGCUGAGGAGCGAAAGCGUGGGGAGCGAACAGGCUUAGAUACCCUGGUAGUCCACGCUGUAAACGGUGGGUACUAGGUGUGGGGUCCAUUCCACGGGUUCCGUGCCGUAGCUAACGCUUUAAGUACCCCGCCUGGGGAGUACGGCCGCAAGGCUAAAACUCAAAGGAAUUGACGGGGCCCCGCACAAGCGGCGGAGCAUGCGGAUUAAUUCGAUGCAACGCGUAGAACCUUACCUGGGUUUGACAUGGAUCGGGAGUGCUCAGAGAUGGGUGUGCCUCUUUUGGGGUCGGUUCACAGGUGGUGCAUGGCUGUCGUCAGCUCGUGUCGUGAGAUGUUGGGUUAAGUCCCGCAACGAGCGCAACCCUUGUUCACUGUUGCCAGCACGUUAUGGUGGGGACUCAGUGGAGACCGCCGGGGUCAACUCGGAGGAAGGUGGGGAUGACGUCAAGUCAUCAUGCCCCUUAUGUCCAGGGCUUCACGCAUGCUACAAUGGCUGGUACAGAGAGUGGCGAGCCUGUGAGGGUGAGCGAAUCUCGGAAAGCCGGUCUCAGUUCGGAUUGGGGUCUGCAACUCGACCUCAUGAAGUCGGAGUCGCUAGUAAUCGCAGAUCAGCAACGCUGCGGUGAAUACGUUCCCGGGGCU
rnacentral:rRNA from 1 species